UACGGGGGGGGCAAGCGUUGUUCGGAAUUACUGGGCGUAAAGGGCUCGUAGGUGGCCAACUAAGUCAGACGUGAAAUCCCUCAGCUUAACUGGGGAACUGCGUCUGAUACUGGAUGGCUUGAGUUUGGGAGAGGGAUGCGGAAUUCCAGGUGUAGCGGUGAAAUGCGUAGAGAUGCGGAGGAACACCGAUGGCGAAGGCAGCCCCCUGGGCCAAUACUGACGCUCAGGCACGAAAGCGUGGGGAGCAAACAGG
rnacentral:rRNA from 1 species